CAGAGAGCAAGCGAACAGUAUCCAGAAUGUUCUCAGAGAGUGUGUCUCUUUCCACAGGUAUUGCAUUCCACCCAUCCUCUCAGACAGAAGCUGCUUUGACAGAAAGUAAUACUGCAGGAAUGGGAGUAUUCUCGGAGAGACUCUCUCCUACAGCAGGUAUUGCAUUCCACCCAUCCUCUCAGACAGAAGCUGCUUUGACAGAAAGUAAUACUGCAGGAAUGGGAGUAUUCUCGGAGACACUCUCUCCUACAGCAGGUAUUGCAUUCCACCCAUGUUCUGAGACAGAAGCUGCUUUGACAGAGGGCGAUACUGCAGGAAUGGGAGUAUUCUCGGAGAGACUCUCUCCUACAGCAGGUAUCUAUGUUUUGUGAUUAUGUUUGCUUCCACAGAGAGCAAACGAACAGUAUCCAGAAUGUUCUCAGGGAGUGUGUCUCUUUCCACAGGUAUUGCAUUCCACCCAUGUUCUGAGACAGAAGCUGCUUUGACAGAAAGUAAUAUUGCAGGAAUGGGAGUAUUCUCUGAGAAACUCUCUCCUACCGCAGGUAUUGCAUUCCACCCAUGCUCUGAGACAGAAGCUGCUUUGACAGAGGGCGAUACUGCAGGAAUGGGAGUACUCUUGGAGAGACUCUCUCCUACAGCAGGUAUUGCAUUCCAUCCAUGCUCUGAGACAGAAGCUGCUUUGACAGAGGGCGAUACUGCAGGAAUGGGAGUAUUCUCUGAGACACUAUCUUCUAUAGCAGGUAUUGCUUUCCCUCCAUGCUCAGAGACAGAAGCUGCUUUGAGAGAAAGUGAUACUGCAGGAAUGGGAGUAUUCUCUGAGAGACUCUCUCCUACAGCAGAUAUCACAUUUCCUUCAUGUGCAGAGACAGAAGCUGCUUUGACAGAGGGCAAUCCUGUAGGAAUGGGAGUGUUCUCAGAGACACUAUCUCCUAUAGCAGGUAUUGUGUCUUCUCCGUGUUUUCUGAUAAUCUUUGCUUCUACAGAGAACAAGCCUGUAGUAUCCAGAACAUUCUCAGAGAGUUUGUCUCCUUCCACAGGUUUCGCAUUCCCUCCAUGUUCAGAGACAGAAACUGCUUUGACAGGGUGUGAUACCGCAGGAAUGGGAGUAUUCUCAGAGGCACUCUCUCCUAUAGCAGGUAUUGUGUCUUCUCUAUGUUUUGUGGUCAUGUUUGCUUCCACGGAGAGUAAGCCUGCAGUAUCCAGAAUGUUCUCAGACAGCAUGUCUCCUGCCAUAGGUAUUGCAUCCUCUCCACAUUUGGAGACGAGAGCUGCUAUGACAGAAAUCGAUCCUGCAGGAAUGGGAAUAUUCUUGGAAAGUGUCUCUCCUACCACAGAUGAAGCAGUACUGGAGACAGAACGACCUGAUGAGAUUUAAAUGUCUGGAGGAGGCAGCGGAGGUUCAACGAUGGGAGUCUAUGGCAGAGACUGUUGUAGCCACUGCAGCCACGCCAGGUGAGGUGCCACUGCAGCUCUGAGAAGCGACCUGCUGUAUCCAGCACAGCAGUCAGUCAACCUGGCAGCCAGCGAGGAAGCGACACCACCGACUGGCAACGCAGUGUUUGGGAGCAGACUCUUGGGAGAAAUGUUUUGUAGCACUGGCUUUAGGGCUGAGCCUACCUUUCUGGGGACCAAGGUGGUAGAGGGUAGAGUGUGCCCCUGGUUCAGAGGGAUAUUUCAACUUUAUGCUAAAUCUUUUCAGUAAGUAUCCCUUUGUAAAAGCUUAAUUAGUUGAUAAUAAGAAAAAAUCAACUGGUUAAAUUGAUAGAGGGGCUCUAAUCAAUGGUAUCAAUAUAUUGAGGAGACAUGGGGGGCAGCUGGGUGGAGCAGCUGGGUGGGGCAGCGCAUCACUGGGCUUGGAAGCAGAAAAAUUUCCGUCACUUAUUGGCUGUGUGACCCUAGGCAAGUCACUUGAGCUCUAUUUGCCUCAGUUCUUCAUCUUAAAAUGGGGACACACUGGAGAAGGAAAUAGUAUACUACUCCAGUAGCUUUGGCAAGAAAAUCGCAUGAACAUAGUCCGUGGGGUCACAAUGAGUCAGACAUGACUGAACAAUCAAAUAACCGACAACAUUGAGGAGACAUUAACUUGUACUUUUUAGAGGAUAUCAAAUAAAUAACUGGUCAAUUGAUGGUGGAGGAAACGC
ensembl:lncRNA